rnacentral:rRNA from 1 species
CCUAGGUGGUGCUGCAGUGAGGAAUAUUGGUCAAUGGGCGCGAGCCUGAACCAGCCAAGUAGCGUGAAGGAUGACUGCCCUACGGGUUGUAAACUUCUUUUAAGGGGGAAGAGCAGAAGACGGUACCCCUUGAAUAAGCCACGGCUAACUACGUGCCAGCAGCCGCGGUAAUACGGAGGAUGCGAGCGUUAUCCGGAUUUAUUGGGUUUAAAGGGUGCGUAGGCGGAUCGUUAAGUCAGUGGUCAAAUUGAGGGGCUCAACCCCUUCCCGCCAUUGAAACUGGCGUUCUUGAGUGGAAGAGAAGUAUGCGGAAUGCGUGGUGUAGCGGUGAAAUGCAUAGAUAUCACGCAGAACCCCGAUUGCGAAGGCAGCAUGCCGGCUUCCGACUGACGCUGAAGCACGAAAGCGUGGGGAUCGAACAGGAUUAGAUACCCCGGUAGUC